UUUCCACUUAAUCCUCCUCAUAUGUCCUGCCUUUGGAGGAAUAACUCUUCUUUUCAGCCAACUAGAAUGGUUACAUAAUGCCAAAGAUUUUCCUUGUUUAAGGUAGAAAGGGGGUCUUAAUACUGUGAGUCCUCUUAGUACUCUUGCCAGAACUUCAGAGGCUAGUUAGGGAAGGAUAGAGGAGAUAAACUAGCACUGGAAAAUCUGCCUGUAUUAUCUUUUUUUUCUGUUCCCCAGGUGAAGUGCUGAAACAUCUGCUUUGAAAACGUAAAGAACCAAAACAUCGACAACAACGAAAGGAUGAGUCUCUGUGUGCAGCUCAGACAUUGCUUCUCUGUCCCAGCUGCAAAUCUGGGGCUAGCACCCUUCUACACAAGAGGGACAGAAAAAAGCCGAAAGUUCACAGGAAUACUUGGCCAUUUAAAACAAGUAAGCAGAAGCAAAACCCCAUUCAUUUAAAGCAUAAUUUAUCUAUCUGCUAAGUAUUUGGACUUUCAAUUUAGAGGAAUCAUUGCUGCUGUGAGACACAGUCUUAUCUACUGUAAUUUAAUAAGAUAUUUAAAAAUUACUUUUAAUAGUUUUUCCUUAGCAGUUCUGUAAAGGUAAUCUGCAUUGAAAUUUUGCUUCUACUGGGAAGAAUUCUCAGACGGUGGUAGAACAUGCUCAGGGUUAGAUGAAAUGUACUCUGAAUGUGUUUGCAGUCACAGUGGACUUUGAAUUUGGG
rnacentral:lncRNA from 1 species